rnacentral:misc_RNA from 1 species
AGCAGCCGCGGUAAUUCCAGCUCCAAUAGCGUAUAUUAAAGUUGUUGCAGUUAAAAAGCUCGUAGUUGAAUUUCGGGGUUAGCAGGUCGGUCGUGCCAUCGGUAUGAACUGGUCUCGCUGAUCCCUCCCUCUUGACGAACUGUGAUGCCAUUAAUUUGGUGUCGCAGGGAAUCAGGACUGUUACUUUGAAAAAUUAGAGUGUUUAAAGCAGGCUCACGCUUGAAUACAUUAGCAUGGAAUAAUGAAAUAGGACGUUUGAUCCUAUUUUGUUGGCUUCUAGGAUUGACGUAAUGAUUAAUAGGGAUAGUUGGGGGCAUUAGUAUUCAAUUGUCAGAGGUGAAAUUCUUGGAUUUUAUUGAAGACUAACUACUGCGAAAGCAUUUGCCAAGGAUGUUUUCAUUAAUCAAGAACGAAAGUUAGGGGAUCGAAGACGAUCAGAUACCGUCGUAGUCUUAACCAUAAACUAUGCCGACUAGGGAUCGGAUGAUGUUAAUUUUUAAUGACUCU